AUUGGAACAAGAUAGGGGUGCACCAAGCUAGAGGCUCGUGGGUUGUUUAAAGGAGCUAAGGCGAUAAGAGGUCCUGAAUGUGAAGUGAACAAUCAAGACGGACUAGCGAGGUAAACAAAGUCA